AAGGAGCCUCCCUCAGUGGGCCUAAAAGCAGCCACCUGUAGAAAUAGCGUUAUAGCUUAAGAAAGACGCAGCCAACAAUAACAGUAAACCAAACCCAACCCCCUUAAAGUACCGAGCCCCCCUAUAAAAAUAGGGAAGAUAAUGCUAGAAUUAGUAAUAAGAGGGGCAUGCCCCUCUCCAAGCACAAGUGUGAGUCAGGCAGAACUAAUCACUGACAACUAGCGGGCCCAACAGAGGGGAUAGCAAAGGAUAAAAAUGAACAAGCAAACCACGCCCCAACCACCGUCAACCCAACACAGGAGUGCACCAAGGAAAGACUAAAAGGUGAAGAAGGAACUCGGCAAAAUAUGGACCCCGCCUGUUUACCAAAAACAUCGCCUCUUGCAAACAUUGAAGUAUUAGAGGUCCCGCCUGCCCUGUGACAGCAGUGUUUAACGGCCGCGGUAUUUUAACCGCGCGAAGGUAGCGUAAUCACUUGUCUUUUAAAUGGAGACCUGUAUGAAUGGCAUAACGAGGGUUUGACUGUCUCCUACACCUAGUCAAUGAAAUUGAUCUGCCCGUGCAGAAGCGGGCAUACCUACAUAAGACGAGAAGACCCUAUGGAGCUUUAGGUAAAUGAUCAAGCGAAACAAGUCACGGCCAUUAACAAAGGCCUAGAAAAACAAGAACUAAUGAUCAAGAUGCCUUCGGUUGGGGCGACCAUGGAGGAAACAAAAGCCUCCAAGUGGAAAGGGAAAACCCUUGAACUAAGAGGGACACCUCGAAGUGACAGAAUUUGUGACCAAAUAUGACCCAGGAU
rnacentral:rRNA from 1 species